GCGAAGUCCGUAUAAAAUUGUCAAACCUACAUGAAAAAUUUCAGAUGAGGCGUACUGUUGUGUUUUGCUCUUGAGAAUGAGGCUCCGGCGAGAUUAGGGUUUUCCGAGAAAAACUUCUAUUUUGCCACUUAAUCAUCCGAUCAAGUAUGAGCCGAUGAUUUCGACGCCGAUUCUACUACUCUCUCUUUCUCUAUCUCUAUCUCUCAAAACAUAUAUACAUACACACACAUAAACAUAUACAUCACAGCUCUUCUCAAAUAUCUACAAAUGAUAAAGGGGGUGUUUGGAAUAGCUUAUUUAUUUCUUUAAGCUCUUUUUGAGUUAUUGCUGUUGCUGUUGUUGCUAAUUUAUUGUUCCGAUGAGGCGGUGACGAUGAGAUGUAGAAUGAGCAAUAUCGGAAUUUGGUGACCUGAUCUGUAUCUUGGCUGGGCAAUCCGGAUGGCAUAUGUUCAUUUGGAGAUUUCUCUUCGGAAAUCGAUAUGCAUUGCAACUGCGAUUGCAGCCAUGACGGAUUUGGGCAAAACAAAUUCGAUUACAACAGAUCUGAGCCUCCUUUCUACCCUCGCAUCCUGUUUUCCUGUCCAGGUACUUGUAAGCUUUUUUUUUAAUCCAUAUACUAAAGUAGAUAAAUUAUUCUCUUAAAAACAUAGUGAUUGAACGAAAUAUCAUGUUGCAGCCUACAUUGUUGAGAUUGAGAUAUAAUGUUAUAAAUAAAUUGUUGUUACAAUCUAGAAUUUUCAGCAAUUAUCAAACAUAUGUUUUCCCUACGCAUAUUUUCAAAUAGAAAAAAACUAGAUCGAAAUUUUGGUUUAUUUUUUUUAUUUUUAUUUAGUUUUGUUUCCUAGUUUAAUUACUAGAAUAUGUUUUCUUUUGAUUAUUAGAAUGUUAAGGAACUAGAAUAUUUUUUCUUUUGAUUAUUAGAAUGUUAAGGCAACAAGUUAUUGAGAACUUUAAAAUUAUUUUUUCUUCUAAGAAAUUUUUUCCUUCUGGAAUACAAUUUUAAACAUUUUAUUUUACACAAAAAAACUUAUUGGCAAAAGCUAUUCUGUUAUAUUACAUCUUUUAAAAGCCUAGAUCUUCCUUUGUGAAUAAGAACUCCAGCGAUCUCCUAUGAAGAAGCUAAUAGGCUAUCAGGUAGCCUGUAUGCUAGUUUGCCAUACAUUGACUCUAACAAAUGAAGGUUUUUUUUGUCACAUGUCACAAUCAUUCAAUUUGCCAAAUGUCAUUUUGCGGUUAUUUUGAAUUAACCCAUAUAAUAAAUGGGUCUCACAACUAGUAUCCUAUAUAUCACAACUAGUAUCCUAUAUAUCAAAGAGUAAAUUACAGAAAUGGUCCCUAUGGUUUAACCAAAGUUACAACUCUGGUUCACAACUUUGCUUCGUUUUGUUACAUGCGCAUCCCUGUGGUUAAAAAAAAGCUACGACGAUAAAAAAAAUUAUCUGAGCAAAUGAAAAUAUAUUGGCUGGGCAAUCCGGAGGGCAUAUUUUCUUUAAAUGUUAUAUGCAACUGUGAUUGCAGCCAUGGUGGGUUACUGGGUUUAGAUUACUCAAUUUCCCUUGAUCACAACAGAUCUGAGCUUUCAUCUACAAAAUCUAAUGUUGAUCAUUAGUAAAAGGCAACUGCAAGUGAUAGCGAUGUACUUCAUUGAUUUGUUUAUCAUCACAUGCUACUUUUAAUUAUUUCUAACACAACACCGUGUUUUGGAAAAUCUAUCCAAUUAAAGCAAUGGUGGUGGUGGACUGGUGGUGGUGGUGGUGGUGAUGGUGAUGAUGAUGAUGAUGAUGAUGAUGAUGAUGGUUAAGUUUAUGGAAAAUCUAUCCAAUUAAAGCAAUAUUAGUAAUAUUUUUAUGGAAAAGGCGAUGAUGAUGAUGAUGAUGAUGAUGAUGAUGAUGAUGGAUUGUAUUAUUCUAAGCAAAUAUGAAGAGACAUUGAAGAUUGGUUCUCUGUAUCUUGGCAGGGCAACUUCCUGAUGGCAAAGUGAGAAGUGACUUUGCAACUGUGUGUGUGUUUGCAGCCAUGACAGAGUCCCUAUCUUCUUUCUCACCAUUCCCUAAUUACAGAUCUGAGCCUAAGCAUAUUCCUGUUACACUUUAUUUUUUUAUUUUUUUCUUAAAGUGAUAUGGUUUUCUGAAUGAAAUAUAUGAAUUUUGUUUUCUGUAGUUGAUUAUUAUUAGAAUGGUGAACAACUGGGGAAGAGUUGUAAUAAGAAUAGAGUCUGUUUCUGUUCUUUAUAUGUUCACGUUUUUUGGGUUUCAUUCUUCUUUGUGUGACCAAACAAAAAGAUAAAAAGUUUCAGUUGAAUGUAAUUUUGGUGUUUUUUUUGGUGUUUAACUUGUCUCCCUUCCACAAUUGUUUGGUGCGUUUCAGUUGUUUAUUUUAAAAGGGUUGUGAUUCUUCUGUGUGUGUUUUUGCUGUGCUUUUAUUAUUCAUUGAUUUCGUGACAUUUGGUAAUCAGGGAAUUACAGAAGGGUGUGUUGGUUUUGCUUUGGAAUUAAAUACAAGUGUGUUGCAUUUUUUAAUCUGAUUUUUUGGAGAGUACAUUGCUGUUUUUGUCUAUAUAAGCUUAAGAUUGAAAUGCAAAACUUGAUUGGCAUCUACAAAUCUGAUUUUUGGUAUGGGAAAGGCUUCUUUUGGCUUAUUUGGGAAAAAAAGCUAUGGAGAGUACAUUGCUGUAGUUGGUGAUGACCACUUAGGUUUUUACAUUUGCAAACCAAAAUCAACAAAAAUAUAUACCUCCACAAGAGAAUUAAAUCGAUAUCUAAGGCAGGCUUAUGUUAAUGUUUUUUCUUUGAUUGAAUGCAAAAUACCAUACAUGAUUAAAAAUUAAAAUUGGAGGUUUAUUCUCAUUUGGUUCUUGUAUCGGUUCACCAUUAUUAGAUGAAAAACUUAUUUCAUAUUGGUUUCAAAAAAGAAAACCAAACGUUAUAAUUGCAUUAAAAAAUC
rnacentral:lncRNA from 1 species